AUUGAACGCUGGCGGCAGGCCUAACACAUGCAAGUCGAACGGUAACAGGGAUCAGCUUGCUGAGUCGCUGACGAGUGGCGGACGGGUGUGCUAUGUCUGGGAAACUGCCUGAUGGAGGGGGAUAACUACUGGAAACGGUAGCUAAUACCGCAUAACGUCGCAAGACCAAAGAGGGGGACCUUCGGGCCUCUUGCCAUCGGAUGUGCCCAGAUGGGAUUAGCUAGAAGGUGGGGUAACGGCUCACCUAGGCGACGAUCCCUAGCUGGUCUGAGAGGAUGACCAGCCACACGGGAACUGAGACACGGUCCAGACUCCUACGGGAGGCAGCAGUGGGGAAUAUUGCACAAUGGGCGCAAGCCUGAUGCAGCCAUGCCGCGUGUAUGAAGAAGGCCUUCGGGUUGUAAAGUACUUUCAGCGGGGAGGAAGGGAGUAAAGUUAAUACCUUUGCUCAUUGACGUUACCCGCAGAAGAAGCACCGGCUAACUCCGUG
rnacentral:rRNA from 1 species